GGAGAUGUGACUCAACAGUAGAGCACCUUUCUAGAAAACAUGAAGUUCUGGGCUCAAACCCUAGUACCUCCA
rnacentral:tRNA from 1 species